GACGAACGCUGGCGGCGUGCCUACUACAUGCAAGUAGGACGCAGUUGCGAACGGGUGAGUAACGCGUAGGUAACUGCCUAUCAGAGGGGGAUAACUACUGGUAACGAUAGCUACUACCGCAUUCUAGUAGAUGGACCUGCGUUGUAUUAGCUAGGAGGUAGGGUAAUGGUCUAACUAGGCGACGAUACAUAGCCGACCUGCGAGGGUGAUCCGCCACACUGGGACUGCGGAAAGGCCCAGACUCCUACGGGAGGCAGCAGUAGGGAAUCUUCGGAAAUGGGGGGAACCCUGACCGAGCAACGCCGCGUGAGUGAAGAAGGUUUUCGGAUCGUAAAGCUCUGUUAUUAAGGAAGCGGUACUUAAACAGAAAGGGACGGCUAACUACGUGCCAGCAGCCGCGGUAAUUC
rnacentral:rRNA from 1 species